rnacentral:lncRNA from 1 species
GAGAAAAGGGAGAAGAAAACUCUUACUAAAUGGAAAGAGAAAAAAAAACACAAAAAAUGAAAGUGAAAACAAGUAGAGGAGGGGGAGAAGAUGAGUGAGAAUGGGAAACAAAAUUAGAAAACAGAAAUAGAGAAAAUUGAUGGUCGAGCAAAAGCAAAAAAAUGAACAGUGAAAACUCCAGCCAUGGUAAGAGAAAGAAAGAAGAUUUCCAUUCCUAUACGUGACAUAUGGGUAAAUCAAUAAUCCACAUUUUCAUUCCAUCCCCAUGGUUUGAAAUAACAAAUUACUUGGUGAUAAGAUUAUAUUUUGUUUCUUUUCUUAUAAUAAUGAAAUGAUAUUCGAUGCUUGAAAGAUUGAAGAAAGUAUUCGAUAUAAAAAUUCACAAAAGGAAUGUUACUAACAACUUUUUACUCUUCUAUAUAUUUUAAAUUUAAAAAAUCAUAAAAAACAGAACAUUUAACAAAUAUUUAUACUAAC